CUAAGUGAAAUUAGAUAUAAAAGAGAAAUGAAUUGAAUUUACUGGACAACAUUCUUCAGAUCUGCCGGGACAUAUUUUCAUUUUCUGUGAGUACUGGAAUGGAUUGGGACAAGUAAGCAUCUCAACAUCUUUUGUGAAAAGGGAGAAUGUGGAUGUCACUGGCUUUCACUUCACGUUUUAGGUCAGCGCUGCUUUUGGGGUGAAAGAAGACCAUCAGUAAACCUCAGCCUUGCCGCCAGGACUCCCCCGUCUUCUGCCGGAGUCCGCCGGUCCGCAGCCUGCGGCAGGGAGGCCCGGGCACCCGCAGGUGGCGCCCCACGUCCGUGUUUGCGCCCUCAGCCGCGCUCCAGGCGCAGCUGGGAAACCCAGAGCGUCUCCCCGGGUCGUUUGAGCGAGCGCGGACACUGCAGUUUAAUAAAUAAGCGCGAGCGCCAGCCGCUCCACCAGUCCGAGGUCCAGAGGAGCAGACACACAGACCCGGGCCGGAGGCCCCUCUUCCAGCCCUGCGGGAACCGGACAGUUCCCCAACUGGGGACUCUGGAAACACAGAUCCUAAAUCAUCAAAUUCUCAAGCUUUUUUUUCCUCUCUUCGUCCCAGCCAUCGCAGUCUUCUUCCUCUUUUUUUUUUUUUUUUAACUUAUUGUUUUUUUCGCCCCUUUCAUUAUGAAAGUGGUCACGCCAUUCAAUAUUAAGACUUGGAGGGAAUUGGGGAAAGAAAAGAAAGAAUCUAAAAGAAGAGAAGCGACCGGUGCUUUUAAGGGCGCCUAAUUUUCAAAAGAGACGUCUGGGAGUAUUUUGCUCUGGGCGUUUGGCAGAGCAACUUCGCGGACAGCGGAGCUCGCCGAGCAUGGAUGUUCCAGGUUCACGGGCGCCUUUCUUCUGAGAACGACCCUGGCCUUGAACGUCAGAGCGGGGGACGAAGGCCCGCGGAGGCUGCUGCGGGCCCCGCGCGUUCCUUCGCGCCCUUGCGCGCCGCUCGCGCCCCCGCCGGCCUCCACCCCCACGCGCCGCCUCCCACCAGCCCCGAUGCAGACGCCCGGCCGGGGGCCACUCGGGCUGCGGCUGAUGAUGCCCGGGCGCCGGGGGGCGCUGCGCGAGCCGGGCGACUGCGGAUCCUGCCUGGGGGUGGCGCUGGCCCUGCUGUUGCUGCUACUGCCCGCCUGCUGCCCCGUGCGGGCGCAGAACGACACGGAGCCCAUCGUGCUGGAGGGCAAGUGCCUGGUGGUGUGCGACUCCAGCCCGUCGGCGGACGGCGCCGUCACCUCCUCCCUAGGCAUCUCCGUGCGCUCCGGCAGCGCCAAGGUGGCCUUCUCCGCCACGCGGAGCACCAACCACGAGCCGUCCGAGAUGAGCAACCGCACCAUGACCAUCUAUUUCGACCAGGUAUUAGUAAAUAUUGGCAACCACUUUGAUCUUGCUUCCAGUAUAUUUGUAGCACCAAGAAAAGGGAUUUAUAGCUUCAGCUUCCACGUGGUCAAAGUGUAUAACAGACAAACCAUCCAGGUCAGUUUAAUGCAGAAUGGCUACCCAGUGAUCUCGGCCUUUGCAGGAGACCAGGAUGUCACCAGAGAAGCUGCUAGCAAUGGUGUGUUGCUGCUCAUGGAAAGGGAAGACAAAGUGCAUCUCAAAC